rnacentral:rRNA from 1 species
GCUCAGAAACUACAAAGGAAUUGACGGGGCCCGCACAAGCGGUGGAGUAUGUGGUUUAAUUCGAUGCAACGCGAAGAACCUUACCUGGUCUUGACAUCCCGGAGACCCUUAGGAAACUAGGGGGUGCUUCCAUCUGGAAGAAUCUGGAGACAGGUGCUGCAUGGCUGUCGUCAGCUCGUGUCGUGAGAUGUUGGGUUAAGUCCCGCAACGAGCGCAACCCUUGCCUUUAGUUGCCAGCAGUUCGGCUGGGCACUCUAAAGGGACUGCCGGUGUUAAACCGGAGGAAGGUGGGGAUGACGUCAAGUCCUCAUGGCCUUUAUGACCAGGGCUACACACGUACUACAAUGGCCGAUACAAAGGGCAGCGACACUGCGAGGUGAAGCCAAUCCCGUAAAAUCGGUCUCAGUCCGGAUUGGAGUCUGCAGCUCGACUCCAUGAAGUUGGAAUCGCUAGUAAUCGCGCAUCAGCCAUGGCGCGGUGAAUACGUUCCCGGGCCUU